rnacentral:rRNA from 1 species
CCUACGGGAGGCAGCAGUGGGGAAUAUUGCGCAAUGGGGGCAACCCUGACGCAGCAACGCCGCGUGAGUGAAGAAGGUUUUCGGAUCGUAAAACUCUGUCUUUGGGGAAGAAUAAAUGACGGUACCCAAGGAGGAAGCCCCGGCUAACUACGUGCCAGCAGCCGCGGUAAU